GGCAAUCGCAAGCUCAGAAGAUCCGAGGAAAACGUCCAUGUUGGCCUGCAUUGUGAUGGAGAGAGUGUUUUG
rnacentral:ribozyme from 11 species